UAAAAGAUGACUUUUUGUGAACGUCGCAUGGCGGCGUUUUCGUACAUUUUUCUUUUACAGUGAAGGCUUCAUCUAUUGAUUAAAAUUGAACGUUAAGUGUAUAAAAUUUCUCAGCUGUUUAUGUUGAAUAGGUGCAAUUUUGGUGGGUACUCGAUGCAAUUUGGGUACCAUGAGACUAAGUCACUUAAGAUCUUAAAAUCGGUAUGAUGUCUACAAAAAAUAAAAGAGAAACAAACAACAAAAUGAAAAAUGGAAAAAAAGAUGAUCAUUUGAACAGGUCAGCAAACUCGACUCUGAAAACAUAAGAUGUAGUGACCUUAGCCCGGUCCUAACUCAGUAGCGCUAAAUCGGCAAACAGACCAGUUUCAUUGGUGGCAAAUACAUAUAUCGUGGUAAUGACAUGAUUUUCUCGAUGUGUAUCUAAUGUACAGUCGAAAUAUAUAUGUUUAUUAAAGAAAAUGGAGGAUAUUUCAUUGAGUGUGAUAUGGUAACGAGUAGUUGUUCCUUUUUGAUUGCAUUGUUUUUGGUAUAUUACUGUCUCACCUACAUUUGCCUUUAAAUCUUAUUAUUGAUAUUUUUACCUCGUAAUGAAAGUUUCUAGAUCCUUCAUUCUAUAAAUUAUUUUAGUGUAAUUGAUAGCCUUGUAUAUUUAGUGACUUUUUAGUGUAAAUACAUUGAUCUGUUAUUUUUUAUUUUAUUAAGACUUUAAUGAAUAAAACAUGUUUUCCGCCAUCCUAUUUCUUUUUUUUUGAAAUUUGUAUACUAGUGUGACAGUAUUUUUGGAACAGUUUUACUUAUAUUAUUAAUUAUUGUACCAUUGAUACGUAAUACAAUGCAUUUUAAAUUCAUUUUAAAUCAUGUAUGCAUAUUUAUUUUGCAUCACUUUUACAAUCAGAUGACAAUAGUGAGUUAAGCUAUUGUAUU
rnacentral:lncRNA from 1 species